UAGAUACCCUGGUAGUCCGCACGGUAAACGAUGGAUGCCCGUUGUCAGGCUGUUUCAGCCUGGUGACCAAGCGAAAGCAUUAAGCAUCCCACCUGGGGAGUACGCCGGCAACGGUGAAACUCAAAGGAAUUGACGGGGGCCCGCACAAGCGGAGGAACAUGUGGUUUAAUUCGAUGAUACGCGAGGAACCUUACCCGGGCUUGAAUUGCAGACGAACGAUUCAGAGAUGAUGAGGCCCUUCGGGGCGUCU
rnacentral:rRNA from 1 species